rnacentral:rRNA from 1 species
AUGGAGAAUGUUGUAGUGUUGAUUGUUGGCGCUGGGCCAGCAGGCCUUGCAACAGCAGCAUGCCUUAGCCAAUUCUCAAUUCCCUAUGUCAUUGUCGAGCGUGAAAGUUGUAGUGCAUCGCUUUGGCGCAAUCGCGCCUACGAUCGCCUCAAGCUACAUCUUGCAAAGGAGUUCUGUGAGUUACCACACAUGUCAUACCCACUAGAUGCGCCAACAUACAUACCAAAAACCUUGUUUGUGAAGUACUUGGAUGACUAUGUGGAGCAUUUCAAUAUUCAACCCAAGUAUCUCACUAGUGUGGAGUCAUCCACAUUUGACAAUGAAGAAAAAUGUUGGUCCAUCAUGGCACAUGACAUGGCAAAGAGCACAAUAGUCAGGUUCACAGCAAAGUUUCUUGUUGUGGCAAGUGGUGAGAAUAGUGCAGAGAAUAUUCCCAUGAUCCCCGGACUGCAAAGUUUCCCGGGUGAUGUCAUCCACUCCUCAAAAAUUUCUUAUGACCUUGUGGCCCAUGGUGCCAAUACUUCAAUCAUUAUACGAAGCCCGAUUCAUGUAAUGACAAAGGAAUUAAUCCGGUUGGGGAUGACACUUGCUCGCCGUCUUCCAUUGAAUCUAGUGGAUACCCUCCUUGUGAUGGCGGCGAAUUUAAUAUUUGGAGACCUAUCGAGGUAUGGCAUCAGAAGGCCAAAAAUGGGUCCAAUGGUACAAGGGAGCAUUAGUAAGAUCAUGGGCGAUAUAGUUGAAUUUCAGUGCAGUAAAAAAAUAUCAUUUGAUGCGAUUGUGUUUGCAACUGGAUACAAAAGCACAUCAAAUAUAUGGCUCAAGAAUGGUGAGAACAUGUUAAAUGGCAAUGGGUUGCCCAUCAAAGAAUAUCCAAAUCAUUGGAAAGGUGAAAAUGGGCUCUACUGUGCUGGGUUAGGAAGGAGAGGAUUGGCUGGUAUUGCAGUAGAUGCCAAGAAUAUCGCCAGUGACAUCAAAUCAGUGAUAGGCACUAUGUCCGGCUAA